GGGCAGAGACUCUCACACCUUUGUACGCUGAUAAGGAGAAUAUUAUUACACUGCUAGUGGUCUGGCCAGAUAAGAUGUUUUGGGCGGGCAGUCUGCACUUUUUUCAAGCUCUCAUUAUGCUGCACCAGUAUCUCCAGAUGCUGCUCCCAGGGAACUAAGCUUCUUUCUCUUUAAAACUGCAAAGAGCAAUGGAGAGUUUAGGCAAAGACCACGCUUAUUCGGACUCUUCCCUGCCACCCUCUGCAGCCCGUGAGGAGUAUGCUGUGCCAGAUGUCAUCAUCACCCGCCGCUUGAGAGACCGGGAGCAGCUCCGUAAAAGAAAAGCAGAAGCCCAGGAAAAAGACUCAAUUCAAUGGGUUCUGAGGGAGCAGACAAAACGGCAAAGGAGAGGCAGAGGAGCCAGGCGAGGACGGGGCCGCCAGCCGGUGGUGGAGAUCAACCUGGAGCCAGAAGCAGAGCUGGACCCCCAGCCCAAGCCCCAGGAGGAGGCUGAGCCAGUGCCCUCCGAGUCAGCAGCCCCAUCUGAGCCGGUGCAUCAAGAACAGCUGCCCGUGCUGACCUUCCAGGAUAUGGUCAGUGGGAUGCAGCCAGGAGUGGUGGAGAGGGAGCUGGCAGCCAGGAGCCAGGAUCCUGCGGGUGAGCUGCCAGAGAGCCUCUUGCCCCACGGGGGCUUGGGGGGCAGUGCAGUGCUGCCUCAUGAGGACUGUCACCCAAGGUUGCCCACCUUAUCAACAGCUGGCCUGCAGCACAACUACAGCACGGGUCCCUACCCUACCAAACCUUACUUGGGUGGCUGUGAGAGGGGAGUUGGGAUGUUGGGCACAGAUACUGCUCUUCAAGCCACGGGGAGUGAUAAAAAGCCACUACUGUCAGUAAAGCCAUUGGCAUAGGGUCUGUGGUGUCUGGUCCUGAAUAGCUCCUUUUCCUAAGGACACCUCUGUGGCUCUGCCAAGAGCCAGGUUAGGGCAGAGAUGCUGUGGAGAGAAGAUGCAGUCUCUUGAGGCCAGAGCUGGUCAGGGAGAGCCAAAGCCCGGACACGCUCUCUCCACAGUCCAUCCAUGGACUGACAGUGGGGUAGGGAAGGGUGGACACCAGGGCAAGGGGUGGGUGUCUGCAGGGGUCUACCCCCUUGAAACCGACCUUGAAGGACUGAGGCACAGAGGGCACUAAGCUGGUCUGAACAGCAGAUUGUGACUGGCGCUCAGGAGAUCCAUUUACAGCUAACGCAGCUUGGGCCAGCAGCAGUUGCUCCCAGAUCUGGCUUGGAAAGAGGAGCACACGUUUACUUUAGCGGUCAGUGGGCCAAGCAUGCAGGUUGCUUCAAAACCAAGAAAACCUAGGAUCUGCUUCAGAGGAGAUGAGUGCCCUCUGACCCCCGAUUACUGCAUUCCCAGCAAUGUCUGUGCCAGGGGAGAAGAAGAGGCCUCUCGCUGCAAAGCAUGCAACGCCCUCGUGCCAUGGAAAACAACUAUUCUGCAUCCUGAGGACUGGGGCACACCACACCAGUCCAGCUCCCAGCCCUGACAUCUUGGGCAAGCAUCGGGGCUGCAUUUAUUUGCCUCUCGCCUUUAAACCCAGUGGGGCUUUACCCUCUCCAACUCCCCUCCACAACCCCUGGGACUGCCGUGUCCUUUGAAAAGUAGGCAGGCCACCAGGAGAUGAUACCUAACAUCACAGGCAGUCACAGCAGCCUGGCCACGGGGGCUUUAUGGCAUGGAGGGAUAACGAACAGGAGCCCCACAAUAUGAAAUUAUCUGUCUCUUACAUGACUUAUAGGUGAAGAGGAGGUGCUGAAACCAGCAGAAGCAGAAAUACCAGAAGCUUGGAAUACUCCUCUGGAAAAUGAGCACCAGGAUAAUGAAUGCAGCACACACCUUCUAUUUUAAUUUUCUGUUUGGGUUUUUUUAAAAAUAUUUUGACUCCUGCCUGACAAACUCCAGUAAGUGUUGCAGAGGGAUUUUGACCAGCUCCUUCCUUGUGAGUAAUAAAGCCCAAACUCUCCCGAUCA
rnacentral:lncRNA from 1 species